rnacentral:rRNA from 1 species
CCUACGGGAGGCUGCAGUGAGGAAUAUUGGUCAAUGGGCGGUAGCCUGAACCAGCCAAGUAGCGUGCAGGAUGACUGCCCUACGGGUUGUAAACUGCUUUUAUAUGGGAAUAACGUGCCUUAUGUGUACUGCUUUGCAUGUACCUUAUGAAUAAGGAUCGGCUAAGUCCGUGCCAGCAGCCGCGGUAAUACGGAAGAUACGGGCGUUAUCCGGAUUUAUUGGGUUUAAAGGGAGCGGAGGCGGCAGGUUAAGUCUGCUGUGAAAUGUCCGGGCUCAACCCCGGCCAUGCAGUGGAAAUGGGCGUGCUAGAGUGGGCGGAAAGCAGGCGGAAUUCGUGGUGUAGCGGUGAAAUGCUUAGAUAUGACGCAGAACCCCGAUUGCGAAGGCAGCUUACUGCAGCCGAACUGACGCUGAGGCACGAAAGCGCGGGUAUCGAACAGGAUUAGAUACCCGAGUAGUC